rnacentral:tRNA from 1 species
GGCGUGUUGGUCAAGUGGUUAAGACAUUCGGCUUUCUACCGAAUAUCGAGGGUUCGAUUCCCUCACACGCUACCA